AUCAGCUUGAGCAGCAUGCUCUUUAACUGAGUGCC
rnacentral:sRNA from 1 species